rnacentral:rRNA from 1 species
ACUACGGGUGGCAGCAGUGAGGAAUAUUGGUCAAUGGACGCAAGUCUGAACCAGCCAUGCCGCGUGAAGGAAGACGGCCCUACGAGUUGUAAACUGCUUUUUUACAGGAGUAAAGGGAGUCACGUGUAUCUUUGUGUAUGUACGGUAUGAAUAAGGAUCGGCUAACUCCGUGCCAGCAGCCGCGGUAAUACGGAGGAUGCAAGCGUUGUCCGGAUUUAUUGGGUUUAAAGGGAGCGUAGGUGGGUGGUUAAGUCAGUUGUGAAAGUGCGGGGCUCAACCGUAGAAGUGCAGUUGAUACUGGUAGGCUUGAGUGCAGUUGAGGUAGGCGGAAUGCGUGGUGUAGCGGUGAAAUGCUUAGAUAUCAGGCAGAACACCGAUUGCGAAGGCAGCUUACUAAUCUGCUACUGACGUUGAGGCUCGAAAGCGUGGGUAGCAAACAGGAUUAGAUACCCUUGUAGUC